GACGAACCGUGCGAACGUUGUUCGGAUUCACUGGGCUUAAAGGGCGCGUAGGCGGGUUGGUGAGUCGGGGGUGAAAUCGUUCGGCCCAACCGGACAAUGGCCCCCGAUGGCACCAGCCUGGAGGGAGGUAGGGGCGUGGGGAACUUCCGGUGGAGCGGUGAAAUGCGUAGAUAUCGGAAGGAAAGCAGGUGGCGAAAGAGACAAGCUGGAACUCCUCUGACGCUGAGGCGCGAAAGCCAGGGGAACAAACGGG
rnacentral:rRNA from 1 species